rnacentral:rRNA from 1 species
AUAACGGUCCUAAGGUAGCAAAUUUCCUUGUCGUGAGUAACGACCUGCAUGAAACAUGGAACGAUUCGAUAGCUGUCUUGCGCACACGUCAUGGUGAAAUAUUCAUCAGUACAAAGGAUAUGCUGGUGAGCUGGGACCGCACUAAAGGACAAAAAGACCCUUUGAAGCUUUAUAGGGAUAGAAUCUAGUACACAUCCAGGCGUUUGUAUACAAGGUGAUGGCCCCAAGAAGCGAGACGAUGACGAUAAAGAGCCAGAAGAUGCAGCGUGGUAAACACAAGACUGUUUAAUUGGGGCGAUGAGCUUAUCUAAUCCACCUAAGGUGAACAAAGCCAUCCAAUCCUCGCCCAACUAAUAAGUGCAAAGAUACAUGUUUUGCUUAAUGGCCCGGGAAGUCCUUCCCAGUAUUUAAAUGCUGUCUUAGUGAGCUUAAAAUUAAUUUACCAGCACCAAGCUACUCUACGGAUAACAGGCUUAAUUUCGGCAAUAUGGAAGCUCACAUUAUCAAGAAAAAUGCACCUCGAUGUCGGCUUAUCGUCACCAAAAUCUGUAGCUGGUUUAUUGGUGGGAGUGCUCAUCCCGUAAAUCGGUACGUGAGCUGGGUUCAGAACGAUGUAAAUCAGUUUGGUCUAUAUCUUUAAUCAUACACACAAGAAAUGCAUUCUUUUCUCAGUACGCAAGGACCAGAAAGAUUAAGC